AAGAUUUUAUGUUUUCAAACAGCCCUGAUUUUAUAAUUUAUUGCUGUGAUAUAUUCUAGAAAGAAAAUUGUAUAAUCGGCCUACAUAUAUAUUAUGGAAAAUUAUAAGCUGUUACGAAUCAUCCUUAUUUGUGUUACGCUGACCAUUUUAUCUUCGUCUGAUGGGUUUUUAUCCGACGAUUUUCCCACUCGAGGUCGGGUUGUUAGUCCACCAGGGACAAAUCAGAACCGCCACAUAAGAGGCGGCGGUGCUUGGUCUAAUUCAAAAAGUAAAAGAAGUCCAAUGAAAGAAGAAGAUAUUGAGAAAAUGGAUGAAGACACCGUUCUCUUCGACUAAACGCAAUAUUUUUGAACAACAAAAAGAUGAUAAAAGACUGAAUAAAUACAGACGUUUACGACGAAUCUACAAAUACAAAAAUGUUUUGAACUUUUGGUGUCUCAGAAAAGUACUUCAACACGAUAGAGAUUGAAUACAGUUUUAAACACCAAAACAUUUCAAAUCUCAACUAUUGCAACUGUUUUUAUUUGACGUAAUUUUUAACUUUUUCAACUUGCUACUUAUACAGAGAAUGGUAAUAAUAAAAUCAUAUAUGUGUAAAUAGGCUACUCGAAGCGCAUUUGUAUUGUUUAUCAUGUUUCAUUUUAUUAAUAGCACAAAAAGUAUGUUUCAUUUUGCAAGAUUUUGAAUUCGUGUAUCCGUUUUCUUUACUCCUCAUCGAAAAGUUCAGAAAUAUCUGAAAACAAAACAGUAAAAAUUUGAGCAAAAAUUGCAUAUAAAUUAUACUAAAUCUGACCGAAAAAGUGCGACAAAUAAACAGAAAAAAUAUUCAAUAUUUGAUCUACCUUCUUCCAGCUCUUCGAUUUCCAACUCGCGCCUUUUUCUUUUCCAUGUUAUGGGUACUCUAUGUGUCCUGGUUGUAGAAAGUUGUCAUUGAUUUAAAAAAAGCUUUGUAAAAUAUUUAAAGCGUGAAAUAUGAUUAUAAGGUUACACUAAAUGGGUACGUAAUAGUAUUUUAUAUUUAUAGUAUUUUUUGGACCCCUAGAAUUAUGUGCACCAAGAUGGCGCACAACCUGAACAUAGUAGUUGAACCAGGUUAGGGUUCAGGUUGUGCGCCAUCUUUGUGCACAUACUUCGGGAGCGCCAUUUUUUGAAUGCUACAACACAUGUAUCAUUUAUUGGACACAUUCAUAUGUAGCGCUUUGCUAAAUUGUUGUUAUUGUUGGAUGACAUUUGUUGUUAGGAACAAUUGGUCUCUCCGAUGCCAAUGAACAAAUCUUUCAAAAUUUCAUAUUGUGAAUUCAGGAUGUGGGACUCGAUUUGCAAUUUUGAUUUGAAGCUUUUGAAUGAUAAGAGAAUUCAAUCAUUGAACCUUCGUGUCCAUAUAUUUGAGCAAUGCUCUCUUGCUAACUUUUAUAAAUGUUUUGUGCUUACUGCUCAACUAACAUUUUAGUUACAAAGCAUCCUGGUGGAAAGUGCAAUAUAAUUUUAUAAAUAAAGAUUCCUACCUCGAAAGUCCUGCCACGGAAGGACUUCGUGUUGUUGGCACACGUUCAUACCACAUGUUUCGACGGCCUCGUUGAUGUCCAAGACUGGUUAUUAUAAAUCCAGAAAUUGUAAACAAUAUUACGAGGAUCCUAUAAACUUUCAUAUUCCUUAUUACGAGUUAUAAAAAUUGUUGGAAAGUGUCUAAUGACAAUUUAAAAAAAGCAUAUAUAUUAUGUAAAUACGCGUUUUUAAAAGUUCUGAAGGAAAUAGAUUG